AGUGAACGCUGGCGGCGUGCCUAAUACAUGCAAGUCGAACGAGUGGCGCACGGGUGAGUAAUAUAUAUUAAUCUGCCCUACACAGAGGAACAACAGUUGGAAACGACUGCUAAUACCUCAUAGUGUAGGAUGAGACAAUAUCGUAUCAGCUAGUGGGUAAGGUAAUGGCUUACCAAGGCUAUGACGCGUAACUGGUCUGAGAGGAUGAUCAGUCACAUUGGAACUGAGACACGGUCCAAAUCCCGACGGGAGGCAGCAGGAAGAAAUAUUGCGAAAUGGGGGAAAGCCGGAUCCAGCCAUGCCGCGGGUGUGAAGAAGGUUUUCGGAUUUUAAAGCACUUUAAGUUGGGAGGCGUUACCAACAGAAUAAGCACCGGCUAACUUCGUGCCAGCAGCCGCGGUAAUAC
rnacentral:rRNA from 1 species